AUUGAACGCUGGCGGCAGGCCUAACACAUGCAAGUCGAGCGGAGCGGCGGACGGGUGAGUAAUGCCUAGGAAUCUGCCUGGUAGUGGGGGAUAACGUCCGGAAACGGGCGCUAAUACCGCAUCCUAUCAGAUGCGCCUAGGUCGGAUUAGCUAGUUGGUGGGGUAAAGGCCUACCAAGGCGACGAUCCGUAACUGGUCUGAGAGGAUGAUCAGUCAAACUGGAACUGAGACAGGGUCCAAAUCCCACGGGAGGGCGGCGUGGGGGAAUAUUGGACAAUGGGCGAAGGCGUGAUCCAGCAAUGCGGGGUGUGUGAAGAGGGCCUUGGGAUUGUAAGUCACUUUAGGUUGGAGGCGUUACCAACAGAAUAAGCACCGGCUAACUUCGUGCCAGCCGCCGCGGUAAUUC
rnacentral:rRNA from 1 species